rnacentral:snoRNA from 1 species
AUUCCUUGAUGAGGAUAUCUUUUUAAUAGUUCUUUAAAUCUUUUCCACACCCCAUACAAGGACUCGUCAUCCAUCUGUUGGAAGGUAGUGAUCUCAUUCCGCAACU